rfam:Ictidomys tridecemlineatus contig099624, whole genome shotgun sequence.
GGGGUUGUGGCUCAGAGGUAGAGCACUUGCCUAGCAGUCAUGAGGCACUGAGUUUGAUCCUCAGCACCUCA